rnacentral:rRNA from 1 species
AGGACGAACGCUGGCGGCGUGCUUAACACAUGCAAGUCGAACGGAAAGGCCCUUCGGGGUACUCGAGUGGCGAACGGGUGAGUAACACGUGGGUGAUCUGCCCUGCACUUCGGGAUAAGCCUGGGAAACUGGGUCUAAUACCGGAUAUACCUCAUUGGUUGCAUGACUGGUGGGGGAAAGCUUUUGCGGUGUGGGAUGGGCCCGCGGCCUAUCAGCUUGUUGGUGGGGUGAUGGCCUACCAAGGCGUCGACGGGUAGCCGGCCUGAGAGGGUGUCCGGCCACACUGGGACUGAGAUACGGCCCAGACUCCUACGGGAGGCAGCAGUGGGGAAUAUUGCACAAUGGGCGCAAGCCUGAUGCAGCGACGCCGCGUGGGGAUGACGGCCUCGGUUGUAACCUCUUUCAGUAGGACGAAGCGCAAGUGACGGUACCUACAGAAGAAGCACCGGCCAACUACGCGCCAGCAGCCGC